CAAUAGCAUAUAUUAACGUUGUUGCAGUUGAAAAGCUCGUAGUUGAACUUUUGGUAGGAGCGACCUGGCCUUGGGCGCAUGCCCUUGUUUGCCGUGUGUCGUGUCUGGCCAUCCUUUUCCGCUUCGGCGGGAAUCUUUUACUGUGAGUAAACUGGAGUGCUCAAAACAAGACGUUUGUUUGGUACAUUAAAGCAUGGAAUAAUAAGAUAGGACCUGGUUACUAUUUUGUUGGUUUGCAUAGCUAGGUAAUGAUUAACAGGGACAGUUGGGGGUAUUCGUAUUUAAUUGUCAGAGGUGAAAUUCUUGGAUUUAUGAAAGACGAACGACUGCGAAAGCAUUUACCAAGGAUGUUUCCAUUAA
rnacentral:rRNA from 1 species